rnacentral:rRNA from 1 species
UAAUACAUCGGAACGUACCCUGUAGUGGGGGAUAACUAGUCGAAAGAUUAGCUAAUACCGCAUAUUCUCUGCGGAGGAAAGCGGGGGACCGCAAGGCCUCGCGCUAUAGGAGCGGCCGAUGUCCGAUUAGCUUGUUGGUGAGGUAAAGGCUCACCAAGGCUGCGAUCGGUAGCUGGUUUGAGAGAAUGAUCAGCCACACUGGGACUGAGACACGGCCCAG